AGUGCAAGAGGUGGUUCCUGGACCAGGAAGCCCAGGGCUGUGGCAGGCCGAUUCCAGGAGCCUGCCCUGCCCCAGCCUGUGUGUCUCUCCUGGGGAGGCCUCGCCUGGCCCCGCAGCCCCCACUGCACGACGCCUGUCCCAUGGGGUUUUCGCCUGUCUUAGUCCCAGCUUGGCUAGGCCUGUCCCUGUCCCUGCCCUGUGCCACUCACCCUCCAGGCUGGGGUAGAAUUGCAACAGCUUGUCCUUCCUGCAGGGAGGGGGAAGGAGGGAGUUAAAGGAGGGGCUGUAGGGGAGAGGCCCCCCAGGACACAUCCCCCCAUACCCCUUGUGGGGCCUUCAUAGCUGAGCCCUGGAGCUCUGGGACUCGGGGAGGGAGGGAGGUCUUGACCUGGGCUCACCAGGUGAGGACCUCCAGGACUUUCAUUCUUGUCACUUCCUGGGGGACUGUGACCUACCUUGUGGGUGCCAUGUCCGCCAGGGGUCCUGGCCAUGCCUGCCCGACCACUACAAAGGGCAAGAAGUGGGGUGUUGGCUGGGCCCCCAGCUAGCCCAGCCCCCUCACCCCAUCAUCCCCCCACAUCAGGCCUGGCCACGGUCUCAGGUCAAUGGGGACCGAGAUAACUUGACAGGGACAGGAGGGAGGGACAGGCAGGGAUGAGGAGGGAAAGCAGAGGGACGGACUGGGGCGACAGUGGGGAGGAACUGCUGCCCUUUCAGGCCUCAUUCUCACGGCUCCCCAUGCUAUCCCCAUUCUCUGGCCCCUCCGUGCACUGGGUGCCCAACCCUCACACAGGGCCCUGGGCUGGAGCCCGGCUCUCAGCCAGACCCAUCCCUGACAUGGCCUCAACAGGGCCACAUCCUGCCGGUGGGUCCCAGGCCCCUGGAGACGGGUCAGGAGGGGUCUGUGGACAGGGCUGUGGAGGUAGCCCUGAGAUUCUGGGGCAUGAGGGUGAAUGAAGGCAGGUGCUCAGGGACCCAGCAAUGACUUGGGGUAAAUUAUUUCAGCCAGGAGUGACGAUGAGGCUGCCUCCCACCUGCUGGUCCCAGGGAGCGUUUGCAAUUCCUUAAAAAAGCACACACUCACCCCGUCUCUACUAAAAAUACAAAAAAUUAGCCGGGCGCGGUGGCGGGCGCCUGUAGUCCCAGCUACUCGGGAGGCUGAGGCAGG
rnacentral:lncRNA from 1 species